rnacentral:rRNA from 1 species
UACGUAGGGGGCAAGCGUUGUCCGGAAUCAUUGGGCGUAAAGCGCGCGUAGGCGGCCCGGUAAGUCCGCUGUAAAAGUCAAGGGCUCAACCCUUGAACGCCGGUGGAUACUGCCGGGCUAGAGUCCGGAAGAGGCGAGUGGAAUUCCCGGUGUAGCGGUGAAAUGCGCAGAUAUCGGGAGGAACACCUAUGGCGAAGGCAGCUCGCUGGGACGUUACUGACGCUGAGGCGCGACAGCGUGGGGAGCAAACAGG